GCAAGUCGAACGCUAAGUCAUCUUCGGAUGACGGACAGUGGCGGACGGGUGAGUAACACGUGGGAACCUGCCUUGGGGUACGGAAUAACAUCGGGAAACCGUUGCUAAUACCGUAUACGCCUUACGAGGGAAAGAUUUAUCGCCCCUAGAUGGGCCCGCGCUAGAUUAGGUAGUUGGUAGGGUAAAGGCCUACCAAGCCUACGAUCUAUAGCUGGUUUGAGAGGAUGAUC
rnacentral:rRNA from 1 species